GUCAUGUGUGUUAUGCACUUAUGCACAUGAUCCCAUUUCUUAUAUUUGUAUUUAUUUGCAGGAUUAUGUAGCAACCAGAUGGUAUCAUGCUCCUGAAAUCUGUGUCUCUUUCUUUUCCAAAGUCCGUUUGUGUAUUGGAAUGGGCUGGUACAGAAUACAUGGGCUGGUGUGUGUGGGUUUGCAGUUAUUCAACAUUCACAACUUAGGAUUGCUUGAAGCAGCCUGGUGUCUGACUAACAUAGCGGCUGGAGAACCAAAACAGACAACGGCUCUGUUGCCUGCAUUACCUCUGAAUGUCCCUGUAAAUUUCUUUAUUUACUGCUACGUUUUAAUGUCCCUGUUAUUUGGUUCUGAUUCUCGCUAUUUACUCAAUCGCUAUCUUAACAAGCACCUUUUCAUUGUUAUGGUUCUUUGAGUUCUGAACUGUUCUGUUUGGGAU